UGGGGAAUAUUGGGCAAUGGGGGAAACCCUGACCCAGCAACGCCGCGUGAGUGAAGAAGGUCUUCGGAUUGUAAAACUCUGUCCUUGGGGACGAAAAAAAUGACGGUACCCAAGGAGGAAGCCCCGGCUAACUACGUGCCAGCAGCCGCGGUAAUACGUAGGGGGCGAGCGUUGUCCGGAAUUAUUGGGCGUAAAGGGUGCGUAGGCGGUCACCUAAGUCUUAUGUGAAAUACCCGGGCUUAACUUGGGAAUGGCAUAGGAAACUGGGUGACUUGAGUGCAGGAGAGGUAAGUGGAAUUCCUAGUGUAGCGGUGAAAUGCGUAGAUAUUAGGAGGAACACCAGUGGCGAAGGCGACUUACUGGACUGUAACUGACGCUGAGGCACGAAAGCGUGGGGAGCAAACA
rnacentral:rRNA from 1 species